rnacentral:rRNA from 1 species
UAGUGGCGGACGGGUGAGUAACGCGUGAGGAUCUGCCCUUAGGACGGGGACAACAGCUGGAAACGGCUGCUAAUACCCGAUGUGCCGAGAGGUGAAACUAUUUGGCCUGAGGAUGAGCUCGCGUCUGAUUAGCUAGUUGGAGUGGUAACGGCACACCAAGGCGACGAUCAGUAGCUGGUCUGAGAGGAUGAUCAGCCACACUGGGACUGAGACACGGCCCAGACUCCUACGGGAGGCAGCAGUGGGGAAUUUUCCGCAAUGGGCGAAAGCCUGACGGAGCAAGACCGCGUGCGGGAGGAAGGUCUAUUGAUUGUAAACCGCUUUUGAUAGGGAAGAAGAUCUGACGGUACCUAUCGAAUCAUCAUCGGCUAACUCCGUGCCAGCAGCCGCGGUAAUACGGGGGAUGCAAGCGUUAUCCGGAAUUAUUGGGCGUAAAGCGUCCGUAGGUGGUUUUAAAAGUCUGUUGUCAAAUCACGAGGCUUAACCUCGUACAGGCAGUGGAAACUAUAAGACUAGAGUGCGGUAGGGGUAGAGGGAAUUUCCAGUGUAGCGGUGAAAUGCGUAGAUAUUGGAAAGAACACCGGUGGCGAAGGCGCUCUACUGGGCCUGCACUGACACUGAGGGACGAAAGCUAGGGGAGCGAAAGGGAUUAGAUACCCCUGUAGUCCUAGCCGUAAACGAUGGAAACUAGGUGUUGCCCGUAUCGACCCGGGCAGUGCCGUAGCUAACGCGUUAAGUUUCCCGCCUGGGGAGUACGCUCGCAAGAGUGAAACUCAAAUGAAUUGACGG